GCCGGCAGCUAGCUCUCUGCAACUCUCACAUGGUCACCCACUGGAGCUGAGAAGGGCUGCGCCCGGUUAGUUCCUGGAUGGGAGACCACAUGGGAAAGCCAGGUUGCUGCCGGAA
rnacentral:rRNA from 1 species